rnacentral:lncRNA from 1 species
CAGUUAUUUGGUAUUACCAAUUAUCAGGGUUUGGAAGGAUAAGUUUGCAUUUGCUUUGUCUGUUAUAAUAAACUUUUUAAAAAAAACAUAGCUACCUUUGAACCAAGUUUGGAUUUAUGUAGCUCGUAUUUUAUUGCAUUCUGUUGAAGAAUAUUAGUACUACCUGCAUCAUUUCAAUGACAUUUUUAGCACCAGAAAAAGAUUCUCCAGAGAUGUUUUGAGUAUUUUGGAAAAAGUUUAAUUCUGGGCCUCUUUCUCUGUGAUUUGAAGCACUCACAGAACUCAGUUAUUCAUGUAAUAACAUUGAUUGCUAAUAACGUUGAAUACUAAAUUUAAAUGCUAAAGCUUGUCCUAAGACUUAACUUUUUUUUUUAAAUUGAACCACCUAUAUUAGUAA